ACCCGUUGAUUCUGCGGGAGAUUGCUGCUAUUCGGGUUCGAUUUAGCCAUGCAAGUCAGGGGGAGUUUACUCCACCGGCGAAAGGCUCAGUAACACGUAACUAAUCUGCCCUUGAGUACGGAAUAGCCUUGGGAAACUGAGGGUAAUACCGUAUAGUGUAUGCGACCUGGAACGGUGCAUACGCCAAAGCUUCGGCGCUCAUGGAUGAGGUUGCGGCUGAUUAGGUAGUUAGUAGGGUAAUGGCCUACCAAGCCGAUGAUCAGUAGGGGCCAUGAAAGUGGUAGCCUCGAGAAGGAAACUGAGAUACUGUUCCUAGCCCUACGGGGUGCAGCAGGCGCGAAACCUUUACAAUGCACGUUUGUGUGAUAAGGGGACCCGAAGUGCUCAUGUACUACAUGGGCUUUUUUCUUAAGAUUAAAACUCUUAGGGAAUAAGUGGUGGGUAAGACUGGUGCCAGCAGCCGCGGUAACACCAGCGCCACGAGUGGCAAUCGCAUAUUGGGCCUAAAGCGUCCGUAGUUGGUUCUGUAAAUCUUUUGUGAAAUUGUUGCGCUUAACGCAACAGUGUGCAGGAGACACUGCAGUACUUGGGACCGGGAGGGGUUGGAAGUAUUUCGGAGGGAGCGGUAAAAUGUGAUAAUCUUCGAAGGACUACCUGCGGCGAAGGCGUCCAACUAGAACGGGUCCGACAAUGAGGGACGAAGGCUAGGGGAGCAAACGGGAUUAGAUACCCCAGUAGUCCUAGCAGUAAACUCUGUGAGCUAGGUGUUGCGUAUCCCAUGGGGAUAUGCAGUAUCGAAGCGAAGGCGAUAAGCUCACCGCCUGGGAAGUACGGUCGCAAGGCUGAAACUUAAAGAAAUUGGCGGGGGAGCACUACAACGGGUGCGGCGUGCGGUUUAAUCUAACUCCACACAGAGAAUCUCACCAAAGGCGACAGUCGUAUGAUGGUCGGGCUAAAGACCCUACCGGACAAGCUGAGAGGUAGUGCAUGGCCGUCGUCAGCUCGUGCCGUAAGGUGUCCUGUUAAGUCAGGCAACGAGCGAGACCUACAUCUACAAUUGGCAGCAGCAGAUACGUCUGGACUGGUCACAUUGUAGAGACUGCGUGUGAAAACACGAGGAAGGUGUAGGCAACGAUAGGUCUGUAUGCUCCGAAUCCUUUGGGCUACACGCGCGCAACAAUGAUGAAGACAAUGGGAUGCUACUCCGAAAGGAGACGCUAAUCCUCCAAACUUCACCUUAGUUCAGAUUGAGGGUUGGAACUCACCCUCAUGACGCUGGAAUCCGUAGUAAUCAGAGUUCAUCAAACUCCGGUGAAUACGUCCCUGCUCCUUGCACACACCGCCCGUCAAACCACUCGAGUAGAGUUUCAGUGAGUCCUAGUUUAAUUGACUAGACCAAACUGGGGCUUUAUGAGAUGGGUUAAGUCGUCACAAGGUA
rnacentral:rRNA from 1 species